CUCCCUCUCUCUCUCUCUCUUCAUCCCGAUCUCCUUUCCCUUUCUCUCUCAAGCCCUUUAAGCAGAGGAAGCAAAAGAAGAAAGUAGACGACAAGUUUUUGGACUUGCAUUCAAGGCUUGCUGUUUGAUUGCCUGGAAAGAUAACAACACUGUCUCUGCUUCCAUGUAAUUCGUAUACAGGUAAGAAUUGGCUUUUAUCCACUGUAUAAUCUUACUUGGAAAUGCUUGUAUGGUAACUGUUAAUAGUAUUUUCACAUACAAGAUCCAAAACUCUCAUGUGCUUCACAUAGAACCUCUAAAUCUCUUUCUGCAACUCUUGGGUCCCACAUCAUGGUGACCCUCCUUUCUCUUCA